AAAUUGAAGAGUUUGAUCAUGGCUCAGAUUGAACGCUGGCGGCAGGCCUAACACAUGCAAGUCGAACGGUAACAGGAAACAGCUUGCUGUUUCGCUGACGAGUGGCGGACGGGUGAGUAAUGUCUGGGAAACUGCCCGAUGGAGGGGGAUAACUACUGGAAACGGUAGCUAAUACCGCAUAACGUCGCAAGACCAAAGAGGGGGACCUUCGGGCCUCUUGCCAUCGGAUGUGCCCAGAUGGGAUUAGCUAGUAGGUGGGGUAACGGCUCACCUAGGCGACGAUCCCUAGCUGGUCUGAGAGGAUGACCAGCCACACUGGAACUGAGACACGGUCCAGACUCCUACGGGAGGCAGCAGUGGGGAAUAUUGCACAAUGGGCGCAAGCCUGAUGCAGCCAUGCCGCGUGUAUGAAGAAGGCCUUCGGGUUGUAAAGUACUUUCAGCGGGGAGGAAGGGAGUAAAGUUAAUACCUUUGCUCAUUGACGUUACCCGCAGAAGAAGCACCGGCUAACUCCGUGCCAGCAGCCGCGGUAAUACGGAGGGUGCAAGCGUUAAUCGGAAUUACUGGGCGUAAAGCGCACGCAGGCGGUUUGUUAAGUCAGAUGUGAAAUCCCCGGGCUCAACCUGGGAACUGCAUCUGAUACUGGCAAGCUUGAGUCUCGUAGAGGGGGGUAGAAUUCCAGGUGUAGCGGUGAAAUGCGUAGAGAUCUGGAGGAAUACCGGUGGCGAAGGCGGCCCCCUGGACGAAGACUGACGCUCAGGUGCGAAAGCGUGGGGAGCAAACAGGAUUAGAUACCCUGGUAGUCCACGCCGUAAACGAUGUCGACUUGGAGGUUGUGCCCUUGAGGCGUGGCUUCCGGAGCUAACGCGUUAAGUCGACCGCCUGGGGAGUACGGCCGCAAGGUUAAAACUCAAAUGAAUUGACGGGGGCCCGCACAAGCGGUGGAGCAUGUGGUUUAAUUCGAUGCAACGCGAAGAACCUUACCUGGUCUUGACAUCCACGGAAGUUUUCAGAGAUGAGAAUGUGCCUUCGGGAACCGUGAGACAGGUGCUGCAUGGCUGUCGUCAGCUCGUGUUGUGAAAUGUUGGGUUAAGUCCCGCAACGAGCGCAACCCUUAUCCUUUGUUGCCAGCGGUCCGGCCGGGAACUCAAAGGAGACUGCCAGUGAUAAACUGGAGGAAGGUGGGGAUGACGUCAAGUCAUCAUGGCCCUUACGACCAGGGCUACACACGUGCUACAAUGGCGCAUACAAAGAGAAGCGACCUCGCGAGAGCAAGCGGACCUCAUAAAGUGCGUCGUAGUCCGGAUUGGAGUCUGCAACUCGACUCCAUGAAGUCGGAAUCGCUAGUAAUCGUGGAUCAGAAUGCCACGGUGAAUACGUUCCCGGGCCUUGUACACACCGCCCGUCACACCAUGGGAGUGGGUUGCAAAGAAGUAGCUUAACCUUCGAGGGCGCUUACCACUUUGUGAUUCAUGACUGGGGUGAAGUCGUAACAAGGUAACCGUAGGGGAACCUGCGGUUGGAUCACCUCCUUACCUUAAAGAAGC
rnacentral:rRNA from 1 species